rnacentral:rRNA from 1 species
GAUGCACCAGACGCUUGGUUAAGGUGCCAAAGUGCUCGCUCAUUCCGAUACCACAAAGGGUGUUGGUUGAUGAAGACAGCAGGACGGUGGUCAUGGAAGUCGAAAUCCGCUAAGGAGUGUGUAACAACUCACCUGCCGAAUGAAUUAGCCCCGAAAAUGGAUGGCGCUCAAGCGAGUCCCCGAAACCGGGCCAUCAGGGUAGAUGCGAAGCCUUGAUGAGUAGGAGGGCGCAGCGGUUGCAGCGAAGGCGCGGGCGCGAGCCCCGCUUUGAGCGGCCGUUGGUGCAGAUCUUGGUGUUAGUAGCAAAUAUUCAAAUGAAAAUUUUGAAGACUGAAGUGGAGAAAGGUUUCACGUCAACAUUAUUUGGACGUGAGUGACUCGGUCCUAAGGUAUUCCUUACGGGAUUCAGAAGACGCGAUUUUUCGCGUCAUCGGCUAAAAGGGCAAUUGGUUAAAAUUCCGAUAGCCGGACACGGUGCUGAGCGGUGACGCGUUUCUAACCUGGCGACGGUCGCCCGAACCCCGGGAAGAGUUAUCUUUUCUUUUUGACAACGAACAUGCGUUUGAAACGGGAUUGUCUCUAGAUGGACGGAUGUUCGUGGCAGAGCGGCUGACUUCCUCAGCUGUCCGGUGCGUUUGGGAAGCCCCUUGAAAAGCCAGGGGCGUGUUUUGCACUCGGUCCGGGCCGUACUCAUAACCGCAUCAGGUCUCCAAGGUUAAAAGCCUCUGGUCAAUAGAAUAAUGUAGGUAAGGGAAGUCGGCAAAUUGGUUCCGUAAGUUCGCGAUGUGGGAUGGCUCGUCAGACUGGAUGGAAGAGGCUCGGUCCGCGAAGGUGGCUAGCCUACAGGACUGGCUAGGUCCUCUUCGGGGGGCCCGGCCGGGCUUGUUCGGUAGGCUGCUGGAGGGGUCGAGACAGUGCCGGGGCCUUUUGGACCCGGUUACAUUCUCGCCAUAACAAGCAGUUAAUGAUGAACUCGUAGUGACCACAGGAACCCGACUGUUUAAUUAAAACAAAGCAUUGCGAUGGUCGUAAGUCGAUGUUGACGCAAUGUGAUUUCUGCCCAGUGCCAUGAAUGUCAAAGUGAUGUGAUUUAACCAAGCGCUGGUAAACGGCGGGAGUAACUAUGACUCUCUUAAGGUAGCCAAAUGCCUCGUCAUCUAAUUAGUGACGCGCAUGAAUGGAUCAACGAGGUUCCUACUGUCCCUAUCUACUAUCUAGCGAAACCACAGCUAAGGGAACGGGCUUGGGAGUAACGGCGGGGAAAGAAGACCCUGUUGAGCUUGACUUUAGUCUGACAUUGUGAAAUGACCUGAUUGGUGCAGCAUAAGUGGGAGCGAAAGCAACAGUGAGAUACCACUACUUUCAGCGUUGUUUUACUUACUCGGUUAGUAACCACGGGAUUCUAUAUCCCAUUUCUAGCGUUAAGGGCCCCUCGGGGCCUGAGGUUCGUCGUGGACACUGUCAGGUGGGGAGUUUGGCUGGGGCGGCACAUCUGUUAAAUGAUAA